GCUCUUUUUCUUCUUCUUUCUAUUCCUUUAAUCUUGGAAGUAUCAGACACUAUAAGCUUGAAUAUAAGAUUAGAAACUUGGUUAAAUGAUAGCUCUUUAUUCAUAUCUCAUCUUGGUUGAGCUUGCUUUAAUCAGAUAUGUUAAAUUGAAGAGCAUCAGUCAAUAUAAGCAUUGAGAUGAGGUAGAGUUAAUGAAUGAUGAUUUUUCUUUAGCAUACUCUUUCUCUCUCCUCUUCUUCUCUUCUUUCCUUCCUCUAUUUUUCACCUUUUUCUAUAUUUUCGCUUCAAUCAUUAUUCUAC
rnacentral:lncRNA from 1 species